rnacentral:misc_RNA from 1 species
UUCAGAACAUCUCUUUUUUCCAUAUCGUCUUCCAAAUUUCAUUCCUCUACUUCUUCCUCUUCUCUCAAACCUAGAAGAAAACCCUCGCUCUUCUUCAACCCACUUGAAGGUUCUAGAGUAGGGCUAGUGUUUAGGUUCGAGGGUUCUAGACUAGGGUUAGGGUUUAGGCAUAAAUGGGAGGGAAGUUCCGACAACUACGAUCACAUAAAAUCAGAGGUGAACUGCCCACGCUGUUCGAAGAUGAUGACAGUGUUAUUCUCUAACAGGCCGUUGUCGAUCACCGCCGGGGAGACUGGUAUUUACCAGGCGGUGAAUUUAUGUCCUCAUUGCCGGACAGCGUUUUACUUUAGACCGUUUAAGUUGGAGCCUUUGCAAGGGACUUUCAUUGAGAUUGGGAGGGUUAAGGGAGGUGAAAAGGAGAGUGACGAUGAAAUGGCUGGGAGUUCUGGGAAGAAUGAUGGCAAGAUUUGGGAAAAGUUGAGGUCUUAUAGUGGGACCAAUGGUAGUGAUGAUGGUGGACAGGGUACUUGUGAAACUGAAAUGAAGGAUUCGGAGGCGAGAAAGGAAGAAGGGUGGGGAGGUACUAAUUUGGGG